AUGAUGAAAUUGGAAGAUUAUUGAGCAAGAAAAAGGAUGAAACACGAGCUCGAGUAGUUUAUCAAGACCACCUUAGUUUGAGAAGCAAGAUAUGAGCAACAUUCUAGAUAACAGAUCCAACAUUGUUCCCCUAGAACCUUGAACUAGGUGAAAUUUUGCCAAAUUAUCCAUGCGAAAGUAGAACUAGAUUAAAAAUUGAUUAGAAGUAGAAAGUGUAUACGGAUAAAAUCGGGGAUGUAGCAUAUCCCGUUUUCCCGGUGAAGAAAACAAAAGAAGCGCAUGAAUGCACAAGACUGAAAUUGAGGCCGGGAACCUUUCGUAUCGAGACUCAUGAAAGAAGAACGAUGUGUUCAUCACCGGACAUGAUACAACAACGUUCUCAAACCCAGAACGAGUUCUAAAACCUUUUGAAACACGGUAAAUAAUUACGCACGGUGGAUAAAGGACAGUGAUCUUCGUACAUGACCGGAUAUCAUAUUGUGAAUCUCGCUUGAUGUCGGUUCGGAUCAGUAAUUAACAAGAAAGAAAUAUUUUUACCUUUUUUAGGCCUGUACUAAGGAUGAAGCUCUCGUACGGGAGGUUUUUUCUUUUGAUACACAUAUUGUAACAUGUGAAUCAAGG
rnacentral:lncRNA from 1 species